GGUAAAAUCAGGAUAUUGUUUUGUAUAAAAGGAAAUCUUAAUUGAAGCUAAAAAAAUUUAGUAAUAAACUAGGAUUAGAUACCCUAUUAUUCUAAAAUAAAUUAACCUAAACUAAAUUAGUAAAAGAUAAAUACUUAAAAUUUAAAAAAUUUGGCGGCAGUUUAAUCUUUUCAGAGGAACCUGUUUUAGAAUCGAUAAACCACGAAAAAUCUCACUUGCUUUUGUGUAAACAACAGUUUGUAUACCAUCAUUAUCAGAUAAUUCUUAAAGGAAAAAUUAUUAAAUUUAGUUGUUUAGUAAAAUUAGAUCAUGGUGCAGUCUAUGGGCAAGGUAAAAUGGGUUACAAUAAAUUACUUUAUUGCGGAUUAGUAAAAUAAUUUUAUUAUGAAGAUGGAUUUGAUUGUAUUUUUAGUUUAAUAAGCUAAUGAGAUAUAAGUUCUAAAUUGUGUACAUAUCGCCCGUCGCUUUCAUUUAUAAGUGAAAUAAGUCGUAACAUA
rnacentral:rRNA from 1 species